rnacentral:ribozyme from 1 species
UGUCCAGCAACUCCUAUCUCUACCUCCGCGAGGUACCGGCCGGAAGUAGAGAUAGGAUCGGGUAACCAACCCCGGUGGGAACUUUCGUCGUAGGCUGACAGGGAAGG